GGUAGUGAUGCAAGGCCUCCUGUGUCCCCUCCUGGCCCUGCACUGCUACGGGCAGAAGCAACUGGAGAACUAUGGCUCGGGCCUCGCUAAGGGGGCCAGAAGCAAACUCCAGCCCUCCCUGGGUCUACUGCUCGCUGAGGAAGCCGCAGGUGCACACUGGAUCCACAAGGCACAGAACCAUCUUGGCCCUCCGCAAGCCCCCCCCUUCCGCCAGGGCAGACGGCCUCAGGUGACAAUGGGUUUUUCCUUCACUGGAGUUUAAAAUAAACCAGACUCCUCAGCAACUCCUGCUUCCAGAAUCAAAAAUAAGUGUCUCUGGGGCCCAAGGUAGGGGGUGAGGGGGACAUACCAGCAGCUUCCACCAGAGGUGGGGAGGGGCAGGGCACCAGCAGAGAAAACAUGCCGGCAAACACACACCGCCUGGGGAAAACCCCCUGAAGCCGAUGGAGACUUGCCUUUGCUCAAGGCCUUUCCUGACAGCUUAGUGGUGGGAGGGGUCCCACCUGGCUCAGCACACACCACCCGCAGGGGCCUCUGCAGCUGUCAGGUCAGCUGUGGGUGCAGAAGCCGAUACUCC
rnacentral:lncRNA from 1 species